rnacentral:lncRNA from 1 species
CACCCGGGCUGCUGACCCGUGCCUGGAGCAGCACUUAUGUCCACACUCAGACUGACCACCAGGGAAUGGAAAGGGAAGUUGGGACCAUCUCUCAGACUUUGGACAGACUGAGACAUCAAGACAGGACACGUGAGAAGGGGAGUAGACUCACCUGAGAGGAGUGGGGAGCAAAAAAGCAGGGGCAAAGAAGAGUGGGCUCUGGGCCCACAGCCAAUGUGAGAGGCCCAGAUGAUAUGUGGCUUCAAGAAUGAGAGAAAUCAGCUACUUCCUCCAGGAUCCAGAUCAAAGUAUUCUGUUUAAUUUCUGUUGGAGUCUUCUCUAAAUGUUGCAACUUUCAGUUCCUGAGAGAGAAGUGGACUUUCCCAGGGAACCUGGCACCGCCAACUCGAGACAUGCUGCUGCUGCUGCUGGCCCUGCUCUUGUGGAUGGAGGGGGCCAAGGGCCAGAGGGAACCCUGCGAGGAUCACUCACUGCAGGUGC